AACGCUGGCGGCGUGCCUAAUACAUGCAAGUCGAACGGUCUUUCUAUGGAAGCUUGCUUCCACUGAGAAGAUAGUGGCGAACGGGUGAGUAACACGUGGGUAACCUGCCCAUAAGAGGGGGAUAACAUCCGGAAACGGGUGCUAAUACCGCAUAGUUUUCUUGAUCGCAUGAUCGGGAAAGGAAAGACGGCCUUUGUGCUGUCGCUUAUGGAUGGACCCGCGGCAUAUUAGUUAGUUGGUGAGGUAAUGGCUCACCAAGACGAUGAUACGUAGCCGACCUGAGAGGGUGAUCGGCCACAUUGGGACUGAGACACGGCCCAAACUCCUACGGGAGGCAGCAGUAGGGAAUCUUCCGCAAUGGACGAAAGUCUGACGGAGCAACGCCGCGUGAGUGAAAGAAGGUUUUCGGAUCGUAAAACUCUGUUGUCAGAGAAGAACAAGUUGGAGAGUAACUGCUCCAGCCUUGACGGUAUCUGACCAGAAAGCCACGGCUAACUACGUGCCAGCCGCCGC
rnacentral:rRNA from 1 species